GAUGAAGAACGCAGCGAAAUGCGAUACGUAAUGUGAAUUGCAGAAUUCAGUGAAUCAUCGAAUCUUUGAACGCACAUUGCGCCUGCCAGCACUCUGGCAGGCAUGCCUGUUCGAGCGUCAUUUCAACCAUCAAGCCCUAGGCUUGCGUUGGAGCCCUGCGGCUGCCGCAGGCCCCUAAAAGCAGUGGCGGGCUCGCUAUCACACCGAGUGCAGUAGAUUACUCUUCGCUCAGGGCGUGUGGCGGGUUCCAGCCGUGAAACCCCCUACUUCUCAAGGUUGACCUAGGAUCAGGUAGGAAUACCCGCUGAACUUAAGCAUAUCAAUAAGCGGAGGA
rnacentral:misc_RNA from 1 species